ACUCAUCUUCAGGGCGGGGCGAAACUCCCCACCGGCGGUAAGCCUGUUUGUUGUCGGGCAAGCCCGCGAGCGCUCGCGUUCACGCGAGGUCAGCAGAUCUGGUGUAAUUCCAGGGCCGACGGUCACAGUCCGGAUGGAAGAAGAUGUUG
rfam:Acidithiobacillus sp. GGI-221 contig_444, whole genome shotgun sequence.